CAUUAAAUCAGUUAUCGUUUAUUUGAUAGUACCUUACUACUUGGAUAACCGUGGUAAUUCUAGAGCUAAUACAUGCUGAAAACCCCAACUUCGGGAGGGGUGUAUUUAUUAGAUAAAAAACCAACGCCCUUCGGGGCUUCUUGGUGAUUCAUGAUAACUUUACGGAUCGCAUGGCCUUGCGCCGGCGACGGUUCAUUCAAAUUUCUGCCCUAUCAACUUUCGAUGGUAAGGUAUUGGCUUACCAUGGUUUCAACGGGUAACGGGGAAUUAGGGUUCGAUUCCGGAGAGGGAGCCUGAGAAACGGCUACCACAUCCAAGGAAGGCAGCAGGCGCGCAAAUUACCCAAUCCCGACACGGGGAGGUAGUGACAAUAAAUACUGAUACAGGGCUCUUUUGGGUCUUGUAAUUGGAAUGAGUACAAUUUAAACCUCUUAACGAGGAACAAUUGGAGGGCAAGUCUGGUGCCAGCAGCCGCGGUAAUUCCAGCUCCAAUAGCGUAUAUUAAAGUUGUUGCAGUUAAAAAGCUCGUAGUUGAACCUUGGGUCUGGCUGGCAGGUCCGCCUCACCGCGUGUACUUGUCCGGCCGGGCCUUCCUUCUGGAGAACCUCAUGCCCUUCACUGGGCGUGUUGGGGACCAGGACUUUUACUUUGAAAAAAUUAGAGUGUUCAAAGCAGGCCUUUGCUCGAAUACGUUAGCAUGGAAUAAUAGAAUAGGACGUGCGGUCCUAUUUUGUUGGUUUCUAGGACCGCCGUAAUGAUUAAUAGGGACAGUCGGGGGCAUCAGUAUUCAAUUGUCAGAGGUGAAAUUCUUGGAUUUAUUGAAGACUAACUACUGCGAAAGCAUUUGCCAAGGAUGUUUUCAUUAAUCAGUGAACGAAAGUUAGGGGAUCGAAGACGAUCAGAUACCGUCGUAGUCUUAACCGUAAACUAUGCCGACUAGGGAUCGGGCGAUGUUCUUUUUCUGACUCGCUCGG
rnacentral:rRNA from 1 species